rnacentral:rRNA from 1 species
AUACGGAGGAUGCGAGCGUUAUCCGGAUUUAUUGGGUUUAAAGGGUGCGUAGGCUGUGCGUUAAGUCAGGGGUGAAAUGCCGUCGCUCAACGACGGAGCUGCCCUUGAUACUGGCGUGCUGGAGUACGGAUGCCGUUGGAGGAAUGAGUGGUGUAGCGGUGAAAUGCUUAGAUAUCACUCAGAACACCGAUUGCGAAGGCAUCUGACGAAUCCGUCACUGACGCUGAGGCACGAAAGCGUGGGGAUAGAACAGGAUUAGAUACCCUGGUAUUCCACGCCGUAAACGAUGAUGACUAACCGUCGGCGAUAGACAGCCGGUGGCCAAGCGAAAGCGAUAAGUCAUCCACCUGGGGAGUACGUCGGCAACGAUGGAACUCAAAGGAAUUGACGGGA